AACUGAGCUAUAUCCCCAGUCUCAAAGUAAACCUUUUCUCUAUAAGUUAAUUCUCUUGGGUAUUUUUAUUAUAGUAAUGGAAAACUGACCAACAUAAUGCCAAUGGUGUCUGUUUUUUUUAAAUAUUUAUUUUUUAGUUAUAGGUAGACACAAUAUAUUUAUGUGAUGCUGAGGAUUGAAUCCAGUGCCUCACGAAUGGUAGGCGAGUGCUCUGAGCCACAAUCCCAACCCUGAGUUUGUUUUCUAUUGUACUAAUUUUGGCUUUUAUCUUCCUUCCUUCUACUUUCUUUGAAUUAUUCUGCUGGAAUUGCCUGUUGUUGAGGCACAGACUCCGGGAUUUUGAGUUUCAUGUGUAGAAUACUUCAUUUGCCCCUCUGGAUGUACUCUCCAUACUUUCAACUCUGUUCUUUGUCAAAGAUAAAUUAUUCUCUGCUCUUUUAGUCCUGUAUGAACUACAUCACUGGCUUCAUUUGCUUCCUGGCUUCCAGUUGGGUCUGGUCCCUGAGGCUUCCAGACAGGCUAUUGGAGUGAGUAAAGUCAAGGAAUGUAUUCCCUGGCUCCCUUCUUGAAGAGUUGUUGCAGUCAUCUCUUAACUGAAGGUCUCUGUUUCUCUCACGGUAUCAACUCUUUCUUUUCAGUGAUGGUUAAUUUUAUGUGUCAACUUGGCUGGGCCAUGGGGUAUCUAGAUAUUUGUCCAACCAUUAUUUCAAGUGUUUCUGUGAGGGUAUUUUUGAAUGAAAUUAACAUUUCAAUUGGUAAAGCAGAUUGCCCAGCAUAAUAAAAUGGGUUAGUUAAUCAGUUAAAACUUGAAUAAAAAUAUCAACCUUUCCUCACAUAAGAGGGAUUCUCCAGCAGACUACAUGGAUUACAUAUACCAUCAAUUCUUUCUGGUUUUGAGCCUGCUAGCCCAUAAUACUGAUAUGAGUUUGCCAAUCUCCAUAACUGUGUAAGUCGAUUCCUAAUAAAUCCCUUUUCUCUGUGUUUAUAUGUAUGUGUGCAUAUAUAUAUUACAUAUUAAUAAUGUAUAAGUUAUAUAAGUUUAUAAUAUAAUUAAUUUAACAUAAUACCUAAUUUGUUUAUGUUACAUAUUAUGUAUUUUACAUGUAUGUGUACCUCCUGUUCUGUUUUGUAACUCUGACUAAUACAGUAAUAUUUCCACUUCCUCAUUCCCUUCAGGCUAGGGAUUGUAAUGUAAUGACUGUGCUAUUACUAGUCCAAGAUUAUUAUAUUAUCCCUGCAGUUCUUCAAUACUCUUAGUCUCUUUACUAAACCCUUUCUCUAAUUUUUCUAAUUUUAAUGAGCCAUCACUUUCCUGUCUGGUGCCUAGUUAAUAUACCUAGAAACCAUUAUAACCGAUAUAAUUCCUUAAUUUAAAAUCCAAAGUUGAUCACAUAUGUUAAUUAGUUCAGUUUGCCCA
rnacentral:lncRNA from 1 species